rnacentral:lncRNA from 1 species
CUAAUCCUUCUUCCCUCACUAAUCACAUCCUCCUGAUAUUCAGGGCGGGUCCGCUUCAUUCUAGACCAAUCAACACAGCCCAUGUCUAUUUAGUCCGUAAACAUCGUGUACACUGUCCGUAGUUGUAGCAUUACUCUACAUGAAGAUAUAACCCAUUUGAUCUGUUCCACUUUAUUUCGUUUCAUAUACGUAGUGUAUACACGUAUACUCCUUCCGUUUCUAAAUAUAAAUCUUUCUAAGAGUUUUACUAAUGGAUUACAUACGGAUGUAUAUAGACAUAUUUUAGGAUAUAGAUUCACUCUUUUGCUUCAUAUAUAGACACUUAGUGAAAUAUCUUAAAAGACUUAUAUUUAGAUACGGAGGGAGUACAAUGCAGCAUCACGUGCUAUCUUUUAUUUAACACCAUGCAUGGA